rnacentral:rRNA from 1 species
GACUAGUGAUCCGGCAGUGGCUUGUGGAAGCGCUGUCGCUCAACGGAUAAAAGGUACCCCGGGGAUAACAGGCUGAUCUUCCCCAAGAGUCCAUAUCGACGGGAUGGUUUGGCACCUCGAUGUCGGCUCGUCGCAUCCUGGGGCUGGAGUCGGUCCCAAGGGUUGGGCUGUUCGCCCAUUAAAGCGGUACGCGAGCUGGGUUUAGAACGUCGUGAGACAGUUCGGUCCCUAUCCGCUGUGCGCGUAGGAAUAUUGAGAAGGGCUGUCCCUAGUACGAGAGGACCGGGACGGACGAACCUCUGGUGUGCCAGUUGUCCUGCCAAGGGCAUGGCUGGUUGGCUACGUUCGGAAAGGAUAACCGCUGAAAGCAUCUAAGCGGGAAGCCUGCUUCGAGAUGAGUAUUCCCACCCCCUUUGAGGGGUUAAGGCUCCCAGUAGACGACUGGGUUGAUAGGCCAGAUGUGGAAGCCCGGUAACGGGUGGAGCUGACUGGUACUAAUAGGCCGAGGGCUUGUCCUCAGUUG